rnacentral:rRNA from 1 species
UACGUAGGGGGCUAGCGUUGUCCGGAAUCAUUGGGCGUAAAGAGCGUGUAGGCGGCUAGAUAGGUCCGUUGUGAAAACUCGAGGCUCAACCUCGAGACGUCGAUGGAAACCAUCUGGCUAGAGUCCGGAAGAGGAGAGUGGAAUUCCUGGUGUAGCGGUGAAAUGCGCAGAUAUCAGGAGGAACACCGGUGGCGAAGGCGGGAUCCUGGGCCAGUACUGACGCUGAGGAGCGAAAGCGUGGGGAGCAAACAGG